AGAUUUUUUUUUUUCCCCUUUACUUUUUCUCCCGCCCACCCAGGGUAGCCGGGGUGGGGACAGGGGAGCGAGGCUGUGACUGGCUGGGGGCUUGCCUCCGGAGCCGCACAGGUGUACAUAGGGGCCGACCCGGGGAGCUGACCUGGGGGUCGCCUGGAUGAACGCCAGGCCCUUUUUUGCUUGCUAUCACUCGGAAGUGUUUUUCUUACCUUUUCAUGUAAUUGACGAGUGUGCUUCAGUUUGUUUAUUAGCGAACCACUCUCCUGAAUCACGUUAGCUUUGGAGAUUUAAAAACAAAAAACCAACGACCGGCCACCAACACAGAGCACGCCGUAGCACAGCUGUGCUUAUGCCAGCCAGAGCACAGCUCCAGCAUGAUCUGUCUUUUAGGACAAACACAGAAGUUUUCCUUAGUCAGUGGGUCCACCGACUCCCAGGGACGAAGAAAGCUCUUCUCCAUUGCGGACUGACGCCCUGGCAGGCUGGCUCUACACCAUGCUGCUUCUGAGAAUUCUGUUCGGUAGAGUGACAGAAACCGACUCGCUUGUCCGUCUGCAGAUCCUAGCACAGUAGCCCUCACUGGGUAGACCGAGAUGCUCUUCCAUCACAGAGGAAUGAUCUGUAACACUGUAAGAUAACCGAUCUUUACAACUGUUUAAUCAGUUUUAUUUUUGUACAGUAUUAGUGACCUAAGUUAUUUUGCUGUCCCGUUUUUGUAAAUCAAAUGAAAUUAUCAAAGAGGAUUCUGACAGUAGGUGUUUUGUAUAUAUGUAUAUAUGUUAUCCAAACAGAAAUAAUAAAUGAUAAAGAUUAAA